AAGUCGUAACAAGGUUUCCGUAGGUGAACCUGCGGAAGGAUCAUUACCGAGUUAGGGUACUCUUCGUGCCCGACCUCCAACCCUUUGUCUACUUGACCAGAUGUUGCUUCGGCAGGCCCGCCGCCCCGCAAGGGGCAGCCGCCGGGGGUCCUUACCGGCCCCGGGUCCGUGCCUGUCGAUGGCCCUUCUAAAACUCUUGCUUAAACGUGUCGUCUGAGUAAAACAAACAAAAUAAAAACAAAACUUUCAACAACGGAUCUCUUGGUUCUG
rnacentral:misc_RNA from 1 species